AAAUUGAAGAGUUUGAUCAUGGCUCAGAUUGAACGCUGGCGGCAGGCCUAACACAUGCAAGUCGAACGGUAACAGGAAGAAGCUUGCUUCUUUGCUGACGAGUGGCGGACGGGUGAGUAAUGUCUGGGAAGCUGCCUGAUGGAGGGGGAUAACUACUGGAAACGGUAGCUAAUACCGCAUAACGUCGCAAGACCAAAGAGGGGGACCUUCGGGCCUCUUGCCAUCGGAUGUGCCCAGAUGGGAUUAGCUAGUAGGUGGGGUAACGGCUCACCUAGGCGACGAUCCCUAGCUGGUCUGAGAGGAUGACCAGCCACACUGGAACUGAGACACGGUCCAGACUCCUACGGGAGGCAGCAGUGGGGAAUAUUGCACAAUGGGCGCAAGCCUGAUGCAGCCAUGC
rnacentral:rRNA from 1 species